rnacentral:rRNA from 1 species
UGGGGAAUUUUGGACAAUGGGCGAAAGCCUGAUCCAGCAAUGCCGCGUGUGUGAAGAAGGCCUUCGGGUUGUAAAGCACUUUUGUCCGGAAAGAAAUCCUUGGCUCUAAUACAGUCGGGGGAUGACGGUACCGGAAGAAUAAGCACCGGCUAACUACGUGCCAGCAGCCGCGGUAAUACGUAGGGUGCAAGCGUUAAUCGGAAUUACUGGGCGUAAAGCGUGCGCAGGCGGUUUGCUAAGACCGAUGUGAAAUCCCCGGGCUCAACCUGGGAACUGCAUUGGUGACUGGCAGGCUAGAGUAUGGCAGAGGGGGGUAGAAUUCCACGUGUAGCAGUGAAAUGCGUAGAGAUGUGGAGGAAUACCGAUGGCGAAGGCAGCCCCCUGGGCCAAUACUGACGCUCAUGCACGAAAGCGUGGGGAGC